GGGGGUGUGGUCUAGGGGUAGUAAGUUUCUCAAUCACGCCGGAAACCACCGCACAGCUGUCUAACAACCUUCUAGUGGCGUCUCUUUCGCAUCAUCUUCAUGAGUAUAGAGAAGAUCCAGGGUUCGAUUCCCUGCUCCUCCA